rfam:Tilletia controversa strain DAOM 236426 scaffold_542, whole genome shotgun sequence.
GGCGUAGUGGCGCAAUGGCAGCGCUUUGCACUUCUAAUGCAAAGGUUGCGGGUUCGAGUCCCGCCUGGGCCC